rnacentral:rRNA from 1 species
UACGUAGGGUGCAAGCGUUAAUCGGAAUUACUGGGCGUAAAGCGUGCGCAGGCGGUUUUGUAAGACUGUCGUGAAAUCCCCGGGCUCAACCUGGGAAUGGCAUUUGGGACUGCAAGGCUGGAGUGUGGCAGAGGAGACUGGAAUUCCCGGUGUAGCAGUGAAAUGCGUAGAUAUCGGGAGGAAUACCGAUGGCGAAGGCAGGUCUCUGGGCUGACACUGACGCUCAUGCACGAAAGCGUGGGGAGCAAACAGG